rnacentral:rRNA from 1 species
AGAUUAGAACUCCUCAUAGGGUCGUCACAGACGAUGACGUUGAUAGGGUGCAGGUGUAAAGACAGCGAUGUCAAAGCCGAGCACUACUAAUUGCCCGAARCUUUCAUU